AGGUCAGGAAUUUGAGACCAGCCUGGCCAGCAUGGUGAAACCCCAUUAGCCAGGCAUGGUGGCGCACACCUGUAAUCCCAGUUACUUAGGAGGCUGAGGCAAGAGAAUUGCUUGAACCCAGCAGGAGGAGGUUGCAGUGAGCUGAGAUUGCACUACUGCACUCCCACCUGGGUGCAAGUGCAGCAAGACUUUGUCUCAAAAAAACAAAUAAAUAAAAAUAAAAUAACAGGAGAAAAGCACACAAAUAUAUUUCAUAUAAAUUGUAGGUGACAUGAGAGCCUUUGGAAAUGAAGACCCAAAGAAAUGAAGACAUCUGUAUAUUUGUAAGGUAAGUUUGAUGAAGAGUGGACAGUUGUGUAGAAGUGUGGUCAAAGGGGGUGUGAUGUGAUGGUAAUAAAUUGGGGGGACUUAGUAAGGUCUGUUUGUUCAGAUUCUUCUCUGUGUCCCUGUAUCUUCAUAUAUAAGGAUAUUUCUUUCCUUUGGGCAUAGGGAUAAUAUCUUUGGAAUGAGAGUCUUAUGACCUACCUUAUAGGAAGUUCAGGGAAUUCUUUUAUAACUGGCUUCAAGCGAGAAGGGCCCAGAGAAGAUGAGAGUGACCUUCCUGCUUCUACCACUUCUUCAAAGCACAAGUUCGUCCUAGUAUAGAUGCAUCAUCAAAUUAAGGUUGCAAUUGCCAGAAGAUCUCAAUUGCAGGGGAUUCUGCGACUCAUCAUUAUUCCAGCACACAGUCAUCUGCAGGGUGCUAAGGAUACAAUGAUCCUGGAACAUGAUGCGAAAAAUCAGGAACUUGCAGCUGAACCAGGGCAGCCAUUGAGAAGCGGCCAUCCUCCCAUUUCUGAAACUCAGCUGAGUCGUGAUUGCACCCAGGGGUUGGGAGGUGACAAGGCUGGAGCCCCAUGUCCUGGAACUGUGCCUGGAACAGCACUCUCUCUUCAGAGCACUGAGAGGAUGCCAUGAGAAGCCUGCACUCACUGAGCCCCAUGAGCCCUUCUGGUCUUGAAGAAUCUUCUCCACUCCUGUGCCUUUUUCAUUUCGGCCUCCUCUCAUCCUCUAAGAAACCAAACUUCCUUUCCUCUCCCUGAGCUAAUCCCUUCAAUGAACUUAAGAUUUGGGACAAAAGUCAAGGAGGGAGGUUGUUUUCAGGGGGCUUCUACAUAAA
rnacentral:lncRNA from 1 species